rnacentral:ncRNA from 1 species
AAGUGUGAAAAUUUUCUCUUUGCCCAGUGGGGUAGGAUUAGAUGGGGUAAGUGAGGCGGUUUUAUGGGCCAAAGUUGAAAUUCUACUGUUUUUAUUGCUUGUUUCCUUUUUCACUAACCCUGUUGGGAGAAUGUAAGGAGUCCCAGUGGUCUCUUGCUUACGGCUCCUGAUGUUCAACCCUGCACAAUCUGGAACCCAUUCUAAUGGAAAUAUUAGAAAGGUCAGGAUCCAAGGUAAGAUCAGGGACAGCAUAAACCUCCAGUGGAGCAAAGGAGCAAAAAAAUUCACUUGAUCUUGUUUUUCAGUAUGAGUAUCCAUGGAAGUGGGAAGCUCAUGAUUCUUCCCACCUUCUGAAUUUUAAGCAGGAGAUGUCAAAGAUAUUACCAUGAUGAUAAAUGACUGUUGUCACCAAGCAUUCUUAUCAACAUCUACUUUUUGAUCAUUCCAUGUUAGCUCUUCAUAUCACUGUGAAGAAAUAUUUACCACUAAUAUGAAAAGUGAGUUGGCUUUGCACAACUCACUAGUAAGUUUUAC